UCCUACGGGAGGCAGCAGUGGGGAAUAUUGGACAAUGGGGGGAACCCUGAUCCAGCCAUGCCGCGUGUGUGAAGAAGGCCCUCGGGUUGUAAAGCACUUUCAGCGAGGAAGAACGCCUAGCGGUUAAUACCCGCUAGGAAAGACAUCACUCGCAGAAGAAGCACCGGCUAACUCCGUGCCAGCAGCCGCGGUAAUACGGAGGGUGCAAGCGUUAAUCGGAAUUACUGGGCGUAAAGCGCGCGUAGGUGGCUUGAUAAGCCGGUUGUGAAAGCCCCGGGCUCAACCUGGGAACGGCAUCCGGAACUGUCAAGCUAGAGUGCAGGAGAGGAAGGUAGAAUUCCCGGUGUAGCGGUGAAAUGCGUAGAGAUCGGGAGGAAUACCAGUGGCGAAGGUGGCCUUCUGGACUGACACUGACACUGAGGUGCGAAAGCGUGGGUAGCAAACAGGAUUAGAUACCCUGGUAGUCCACGCCGUAAACGAUGUCGACCAGCCGUUGGGUGCCUAGCGCACUUUGUGGCGAAGUUAACGCGAUAAGUCGACCGCCUGGGGAGUACGGCCGCAAGGUUAAAACUCAAAUGAAUUGACGG
rnacentral:rRNA from 1 species